UUUGAUCUACGGGGGGCAGCAGUGGGGAAUAUUGGACAAUGGGGGGAACCCUGAUCCAGCGACGCCGCGUGAGUGAAGAAGUAUUUCGGUAUGUAAAGCUCUAUCAGCAGGGAAGAAAGAAAUGACGGUACCUGACUAAGAAGCCCCGGCUAACUACGUGCCAGCAGCCGCGGUAAUACGUAGGGGGCAAGCGUUAUUCGGAUUUACUGGGUGUAAGGGGAGCGUAGACGGCG
rnacentral:rRNA from 1 species